rnacentral:rRNA from 1 species
UACAGAGGGGGCAAGCGUUGUUCGGAAUUACUGGGCGUAAAGGGCGCGUAGGUGGCCUUCUAAGUUGAACGUGAAAUCCCUGGGCUCAACCCAGGAACUGCGUCCAAGACUGGGAGGCUUGAAUCCGGGAGAGGGAUGCGGAAUUCCAGGUGUAGCGGUGAAAUGCGUAGAUAUCUGGAGGAACACCGGUGGCGAAGGCGGCAUCCUGGACCGGUACUGACGCUGAGGUGCGAAAGCGUGGGGAGCAAACAGG